CAGAUGCCCCCAACUAGUCUCCUGGUUGUCCCUAUGUCAUUUUCCACACAGGUUCUAUAGUUAGCUCUGUGUGUGUGUGUGUGUGUGUGUGUGUGUGUGUGUGUUAUGUGCAUACAUGUACAAGGUAUGCAGAUCUGUUCUUGUGCUUGGAAGCCAGAGGAGGAUGUCUAGUGUUCUGUCACUCUCCACUCUCUUCCUCUGAGACAGUCUCUCACUGAGCCUGGAGCUAGGCUGGCAGCCAGCAAGAGCCAGUGACCCUUUGGCCUCCACCUUGCCCACCCCCUCCACACUGGGCUUUUUCUGUUGCUGCCAGGUCUUGAACUCGAAUCCCCGUGCCUUCAUAGCAACUGCUCUUACCCACUGAGCCAUCUUCUCACCCCUAAGCAGCAUUUUAAAGGACCAGACUUAGUUUGGUCUCCUCAGCUUCCCCCGUCCCAGCAUCUUCAGAGGACCCCCCUUUGUAUUUUCUGUGACCUACAGAGGACCUUGGGGUGCUGUCUUAGUCACUUUUUUAUUGCUGUGAAGAGACACCAUGACCAAGCAACUUACAGAAGUAUUUAUGGGAACUUACAGUUCAGAAGGUUAGGGCCUAUGACCAUCACGGCUAGGAGCAUGGCAGUGGGCAGGCAUGUGUGACUCUGGGACAGUAGCCGAGAGCUAUCUUGUUCCACAAGUACAAGGCAGAGAGAGGUUAUUGGAGAUGGCACUGAUGUAUGAAACCUCAAAGCCCACCGCCAGUGACACCCCUCCUCCAGUAAGAUCGUACCUCCUAAUCCUUCCCAAACAGUUGUGCUAACUGGGACCAAGUAUCCAAACUCCUGAGCCUAAGAGGGUCGUUCUCAUUCAAACCACCACAAAUACCAUGGAAAACUGAGUAUUUUCAGGCACAUUUCCAACCUCUUCAGACUAGCCAUGGUAGCAUACAUCUUUAAUCCCAGUACUCGGGGUGGAAGCAGGUGGAUCUCUGUGAGUUUUGUUAGCCUUGUUUAUCUAGUUCCAGGUCAGCCAGGGUCACACAACAGGACUCUAUCUCAAAACAACAACAACAACAACAAAACAAAACCAACUCUCUCCGGCGAGCAUAUUUAGGAGGAACCGUGAAGCAUGAGGGGGGUGGUCAGUAGAGUCAGAAACAAACCCUGAAGCAGAAAAGUUGCUGGCUGGUUCUUAGCCGCCUCAAGGCCUUUGGGGCUUGGUAUGCAAGACACACACAGAGCGGGGGGCCAGAGAGGUGGGUGGAUGGAGGUUGAGUCUCCAGAGGAGGCAUCUGGAUUUUCAGCAUGAGCAGGACGGCUCUGGCUUCCACAGUCACCGGCAUGCGACUCCCAUUUGCGUGGGCGUGAGCAAGGUGUUUCCUUAGCUCCCACCCUGAGGCAUGCGAGCUACCAUCUGUCCCUAAGCUCAAAAUGCCCUCAGGCCAAGCCACUCCCUUCCCACCCUCUGCCACACUCCUUACCUGGGUAACACAAAGCUGUCCUCUUCCCAUGGCCUGAAGCUGCAGCCUCACCCCUGCCCCAGGACUAUGGGCUCAUGGCCAUCGCCCCCUUCACCCGCCUGAGGACCUGGAGAUCCAGAAAGGCCCUCCUGGUGGGCCAGUCCUCAGGACUCCAGAGGGCACUGACUCUAGUAGUUGUUCCCUGAAGGAAUAGGGACCCAGAGCCACCAAAUGUUUUAGACAUUUCAGAGGAGACCUGAAUUCCAAUUUUUUUUUUUUAAUGUGAAAGUUCUCAGUUUCAAAAUAUUGGAUCAAAACCAAAAACUUCUUAACACUGGUAGAUCCAGACAAGUUACAUGUGACAAAUGUGGUCUAAGCCCUGUUGAUUAUAAUGGCAGCCUCGUGAUGGUGUCUACUACAUGACCCAACCAACCAACCAUCCACCCAUCCAGCACUUCAUCUGUGGGCCACAGGACGUGGCGACUGCCUGCUGCUGAGCCAGGAGUGGGACUAAAGACCAGCUAGAUGAAGGUUGCCACUGCCUCUGCUUUCUUCUGAUGGGCAGCCAAUUGUCCCAAUACUAAAUGUGGAGAAAUCCUGUUUCAAAUGCCAACUGGAUCAUAUGAUCAUGAGAGAUAAAGAGAAGAUCCCAGAAGCCUUGAGAAACCGAAAAAGUCAUGCAACAGAGGAUCAAGACUCAGGAUGGCACUGGGUUACUUCUCAUCAACCCAGAAUGCCACAUGCCAAUAAGAGCUGCCUUCAGAAUGUGGAGUGGAGAUGAUUUCCAAACGAGAUUUAUACAGCCAGCCAAACUGUCAAUCAAGGAUCCAAAAACUGAACUUCCCAUAUGCAGUUUUCAAGGAAGCUACUGGCAUGUAUAUUAUAACUAAAAGAAGACAGUAAACCAAGCAGGGGGUGGCUUUGGAGCCGAGCACCAAAGAAGUACAGGAGAGAGGUUAAGGGUAUUCCUGGGAUAAUAAUGGAGGGAAAUUUCAGAAUAUCUAUCAGGAAGACGUCUAGGAGGGUGUCUGGUCUAGGACAGGUGAAAAGGACAAUGAGUUUUUAGAAAAAAAAAACACACAAAAAUGGAAGUAAUAGGUUACUAAAUGAAUCUGAUUUUAUUGCUGGGGAUUUUAAAAUUUUGUGGACAUGCUUGUGGGAAGAGUUAGUAAUACUGCUUUAAAGUGUAAGUGAAAAACAGAGGCAAUCACCAACUCCAGGGAAAACAAAAAGCUCAGCAACUACACCUAUAACACCUCAUAUGUACACCUAGAACACCUCAUAUGUACACCUAGAACACCUCAUAACUACACCUACAACACCUCAUAACUACACCUACAACACCUCAUGACUACACCUACAACACCUCAUAACUACACCUACACCUCAUAACUAUACCUACACCUCAUAACUACACCUACAACACCUCAUAACUACACCUACAACACCUCGGAUAAUGGUUAUUGUUUAUGUUAUCAGCUUGACAAGGAUCUAUAAUCACCCAGGACAUAAGCCUCUGCGCACACCUGUUAUCUACACUAAUUUCUGGGCAUGUCGUGAGAGAUUUUCUUGAUUAGAUUAAUCGUGGUGGGAAGGUCUACCCUAAAUGUGGGUGACACCAUCCCCUGGGCUGGGAUCCUGGACUUUAGAUGUGGAGAAAGGGAGCUGAGCUUCCUGACUGUGGGUGCGAUGUCACGUGGGGCCUCGUGCUCCUGCUCCCGUGACUCCCUCCCUGUGGUGGGGACACCCUGGAACUGUGAGCCAAACAGACCUUCCUCCCUGAAGUUGCUUUGGUCAGGCAUCUCGCACAGCGAUGGGAGAGGACACAGGAGACUUUGUUCCGCUGUUAACAACGUGGAGGUGGACCAGGUAAAAGAGGACUCUGAGGUAGCAGCUGUGAAGGAUGACGUUGGGAGGGGAAGUGCGUGUCUGUGUGUGGUGGCUGCUGGGGAACUAGCAAUCUUCCAUAAGA